UGGGGAAUAUUGGACAAUGGGCGAAAGCCUGAUCCAGCCAUGCCGCGUGUGUGAAGAAGGUCUUCGGAUUGUAAAGCACUUUAAGUUGGGAGGAAGGGCAGUAAGCGAAUACCUUGCUGUUUUGACGUUACCGACAGAAUAAGCACCGGCUAACUCUGUGCCAGCAGCCGCGGUAAUACAGAGGGUGCAAGCGUUAAUCGGAAUUACUGGGCGUAAAGCGUGCGUAGGCGGCUAAUUGAGUCGGAUGUGAAAUCCCCGAGCUUAACUUGGGAAUUGCAUUCGAUACUGGGAAGCUAGAGUAUGGGAGAGGAUGGUAGAAUUCCAGGUGUAGCGGUGAAAUGCGUAGAGAUCUGGAGGAAUACCGAUGGCGAAGGCGGCCAUCUGGCCUAAUACUGACGCUGAGGUACGAAAGCAUGGGGAGCAAACAGG
rnacentral:rRNA from 1 species